GCGGUGGAGCAUGUGGCUUAAUUCGAAGCAACGCGAAGAACCUUACCAGGUCUUGACAUCCCUGACAACCCGAGAGAUCGGGCGUUCCCCUUCGGGGGGCAGGGUGACAGGUGAUGCAUGGUUGUCGUCAGCUCGUGUCGUGAGAUGUUGGGUUAAGUCCCGGCAACCGAGCGCAACCCUCGACCUUAGUUGCCAGCAUUCAGUUGGGCACUCUAAGGUGACUGCCGGCUAAAAGUCGGAGGAAGGUGGGGAUGACGUCAAAUCAUCAUGCCCCUUAUGACCUGGGCUACACACGUGCUACAAUGGGCGGUACAAAGGGUCGCGAACCCGCGAGGGGGAGCCAAUCCCAAAAAGCCGCUCUCAGUUCGGAUUGCAGGCUGCAACUCGCCUGCAUGAAGCCGGAAUCGCUAGUAAUCGCAGGUCAGCAUACUGCGGUGAAUACGUUCCCGGGCCUU
rnacentral:rRNA from 1 species